rnacentral:rRNA from 1 species
GACGAACGCUGGCGGCGUGCCUAAUACAUGCAAGUAGAACGCUGAAGGAGGAGCUUGCUCUUCUGGAUGAGUUGCGAACGGGUGAGUAACGCGUAGGUAACCUGCCUGGUAGCGGGGGAUAACUAUUGGAAACGAUAGCUAAUACCGCAUAACAGUAGAUGUUGCAUGACAUUUACUUAAAAGGUGCAAUUGCAUCACUACCAGAUGGACCUGCGUUGUAUUAGCUAGUUGGUGGGGUAACGGCUCACCAAGACGACGAUACAUAGCCGACCUGAGAGGGUGAUCGGCCACACUGGGACUGAGACACGGCCCAGACUCCUACGGGAGGCAGCAGUAGGGAAUCUUCGGCAAUGGACGGAAGUCUGACCGAGCAACGCCGCGUGAGUGAAGAAGGUUUUCGGAUCGUAAAGCUCUGUUGUAAGAGAAGAACGAGUGUGAGAGUGGAAAGUUCACACUGUGACGGUAUCUUACCAGAAAGGGACGGCUAACUACGUG